GGGGAAUAUUGGGCAAUGGGGGAAACCCUGACCCAGCAACGCCGCGUGAAGGAAGAAGGCUUUCGGGUUGUAAACUUCUUUUACCAGGGACGAAGGACGUGACGGUACCUGGAGAAAAAGCAUCGGCUAACUCCGUGCCACCAGCCGCGGUAAUACGGAGGAUGCGAGCGUUAUCCGGAUUUAUUGGGUUUAAAGGGUGCGUAGGCGGACUGUCAAGUCAGCGGUAAAAUACGGGGGCUCAACCUCCGCCCGCCGUUGAAACUGACGGUCUUGAGUGGGCGAGAAGUAUGCGGAAUGCGUGGUGUAGCGGUGAAAUGCAUAGAUAUCACGCAGAACUCCGAUUGCGAAGGCAGCAUACCGGCGCCCAACUGACGCUGAAGCACGAAAGCGUGGGUAUCGAACAGG
rnacentral:rRNA from 1 species